GAGGCUUCCAACCAGAUAUCAGAAGGAGGUCUGGUAGGCCAGGCAGGGUGCCCCUAGCAGGGCAGUGUGUGAAGCUGUGAGAGUAAAGCUGAAAGCGUAGCUGGAGAUGGCAGGAACAUAGAAUGUCUGCUAAGAAAAGCUGAAGGCAGUGAGCAGAGUCAACCCAAGAGUCAGAGCAUGAGGGCUGCCACUGGUGAUGCCACAGGGGUGAGGCCACCCAAGCCUUUUGGAGCUCACAUCUCACCACAGCUUGCCCCAGGUGUGCAGAUCAUGCUCAGGGACAAGAAAGUGACUUUGGAGUGUGCUCUUUCCUGCGUUCUGCUUCCUGGCUGCCUGAGCAGUCACUUGCCACCACCUCUUCAGAACUAACAACAAAAGAGUCAAACGUCGGAAAAGAUCCUCAGAGAUCUCUUUUUUCCUACUCAGCCUUUAGUAUGUGCUGAAAGAGAGUGCAAAAGUAUAUUUUUAAAAGAGUGUUUAAAGAAUAUUCUUGAGGCAAAUAAGAAUGGAUCCUAUUUAUACAUCAGAUCAUGAAAGCUAUGUUUCACAUUUUCCCACCUGCCAGCAAUACUCACUGAAAGAACGCUG